rnacentral:lncRNA from 1 species
GUCUGUGGGGUUUCGGGUUCGGGGUUUCCUGGUGGGCGUCAGGGGCAGGCAACAGAGUGGCGGCCGCUACGGCCCUGUAACAGGGCCAUGGAGAAGCUGCGGCGAGUCCUGAGCGGCCAGGACGACGAGGAGCAGGGCCUGACUGCGCAGGUCCUGGAUGCCUCAUCCCUUAGUUUCAACACCAGAUUGAAAUGGUUUGCCAUCUGCUUCGUAUGUGGCGUUUUCUUUUCUAUUCUUGGAACUGGAUUGCUGUGGCUUCCGGGCGGCAUAAAGCUUUUUGCAGUGUUUUAUACCCUCGGCAAUCUUGCUGCGUUAGCCAGUACAUGCUUUUUAAUGGGACCUGUGAAGCAACUGAAGAAAAUGUUUGAAGCAACAAGAUUGCUUGCAACAAUUGUUAUGCUUUUGUGUUUCAUAUUUACCCUGUGUGCUGCUCUUUGGGUAAAAGGGACUGGCUGUGUUAUUCUGCAUAUUGCAGUUCUUGUCAAUGACCUGGUAUAGCCUGUCGUACAUCCCAUAUGCAAGGGAUGCAGUUAUUAAAUGCUGUUCUUCUCUCCUAAGUUGAAAAUCAGAAACUUGUGGAAAAGAGCACUUGAAUGUUGGUACUCUAUGUUUGGUGAAGUUUGCUUUUCCCCAUAAAACACUCCAGGAACAACUGACGUGACAGUUGAAGACCGUUUUGUACUAAGUCUCAUUUUGUAUACUGGUAAAAACUACAUGCUUGAUUAAACCAUUAAAUGCUUGUAACUUUAAAUUCAUUAUGUGUCAUUAAUAUACUUUUCCAAAGAUAAGAUUUUUAAUCACUGCCAGUUGUAAAUUAUUUUUAGCCAAUUUUUAAAUCUUUUCAAAGCAGCUUUGAAAUGUGAAUAUUUAAAGGUAGACCUGUGCUGCAAGAUAAUUAAACUUUUUUGCUUUUAAAAAAUGUCUGCAUUUUUAAGAUUUUUUUUACUUUAAAUGUGAAACUUAUUUUAAGCUAAAAAUUGCUUAUUAUAUGUAAUAAAAAUAAUAUAUAAAUCUUUACAAUUUUGAAAUAAACCCAUCCUUGGAAAAAUAA